rnacentral:lncRNA from 1 species
CUCCCAGCUUUAUUAAUAACUCCAAUAUCCGUUUUUACAAAGAUUAUUAUUACAAACUGAUAUGAACAAAAUACAUAAUAAAGAACCAUUAUACUAAAGGGAGCUUUCAUAGGACCAAUAGCAACCCAAGAACUAGGCCUUCAAGCAUAGCAUCUCUGAGCAUAGUAGUAGCACAUCCAUAACACAAACAAUUGGUUCCUGGUAUGUCAAAGUUCCCAAGGGCCUCAGAGACCCCGGGCAAUGCUCACACCACAAUUAGAUGUUCAACAAAAUUUAAAGGAUUGGAGAACUAGCCCCAAUGUGUUAGAGUUUGAAGGAGUUUCAUGGACCCUAUGCAGUGCUCACACUGGGGGUGGCAGGACCCUAUAUAGCUAAGACUAAAAGUUGAAAAUAAUAUAUAAAAGUAGGAUGCAGUUUUAAAAAAAAAAACCAAUUUGGAUUUUUAGAAGUGAAUAAAAAUAGGUUGUAAACAGAACAGGACCAGGAUUCAACAUUUUGAUUUAGAUUUAGUUACCAGUAGUUAAACAAAGACAGGAACACCG